rnacentral:tRNA from 1 species
GCCUGGGUGGCUGAGUUGGUUAAGCAUCUGACUUCAGCUCAGGUCAUGAUCUCGUGGUUCAUGGGUUCGAGCCCCAUGUUGGGCU